UUUGUUUUCCCGACGGUUUCUUUAUUUCUUCUUACCUUCAUCUUGCACAGAACCAGAGUUGUUUUUGUGAAAUAAUAAAGACAGAGAAGA
rnacentral:ribozyme from 11 species